rnacentral:rRNA from 1 species
UACAGAAGGUGCGAGCGUUAAUCGGAAUUACUGGGCGUAAAGGGUGCGUAGGUGGUUUUGUAAGUUAGGUGUGAAAGUCCCGGGCUUAACCUGGGGAUUGCGCCUGAUACUGCAAAGCUAGAGUACUGUAGAGGAAAGUGGAAUUUCCAGUGUAGCGGUGAAAUGCGUAGAUAUUGGAAGGAACAUCAGUGGCGAAGGCGACUUUCUGGACAGAUACUGACACUCAACUACGAAAGCGUGGGGAGCAAACAGG